AAACAAAGUCGGCCCCAAAGUCGCCCCAAUUUUUGAACUGCGUGGUUGUGCGCGCGUCGUAAACAGAUUAAACUUUAAAUAAGUACAAUUUUGGAUAACGUAUUUCUUUGGAGAGCCAGGCCGAGAGAGCAUAAAGAGAGUGAAAAAGAAAAAACAAUCGGUUCGGCGGCAAUACGGGUAUUUUUAAUCUAAGCUAAAAACGAAAAAAAAGUAAAAUAUACGGGUAGAGCCGAGUGCUUAAAAUCGGGAAAUUAAUUUAAUGCAAUAUUUCUAAAUGUGUUUAUAAAUCGCUGGCAACGUAGUAACUAAUUGCAAAAAGCAUCUCCCCAUCUCUCUCAUACAUAUACAAAUCGCGCGACUAGGAAUUUAUCUAAAGUGUAAACCAAAUGCUAAUCUAAGCUGCUAAUCUAAGUGAAAACUAAGUGUAGGAACCAAUACGAGAAUUUAAACGCGUCUAAAACUGAAACUCUAGCAAACCAACAAACAAGAGACAAACAAACGUUUGUCAAGCAAAGUAACGCGCGCGACAAAACAGCAACGCAACGAGCAUUUCCUCUCCUCUCCGUGGUCCCUUAGGUCGGCAAAAUAGCUAAGUCCAUUUUGCAAUUCUUAAAAAAGAAGAAAUCCCAUCAUAGUUCGACAUCGGGCGAGGGCAAGCUACAGCAGCAGUCCAGCUACGAGGAGGAGGGCGUCGGCGGUGGAGGAGGACCGGAGCAGGCGGCUAGCAGCAGCAGCUCGGCUGGGCCAGGAGGAGCAGUAGGAGGAGGCGCCGCCGCCGCAAGCCAAAAGACAACGCCCCCAACGGCAGCAGCAGCAUCCGAAGGAGGAGCGGCAGCAGCGACCACGACAGACGGAGCAACAGCAAAACCAGGAGCCGCCAGUGAGGAACAGCCACAGGUAUCUGCCAGCGCCACGUUUCGCCUUUCAUCGCUCACGGGUACAAUCUCGAAGAUGGGAAACAACGCGACCACGUCCAACAAGAAGGUGGAUGCCGCCGAGACGGUCAAGGAGUUCCUCGAGCAGGCCAAGGAGGAGUUUGAGGACAAGUGGCGCCGCAACCCCACCAAUACCGCUGCCCUCGACGACUUCGAGCGGAUCAAGACGCUCGGGACGGGCUCCUUUGGCCGCGUGAUGAUCGUCCAGCACAAGCCCACGAAAGACUACUAUGCCAUGAAGAUCCUCGACAAGCAGAAGGUCGUCAAGCUGAAGCAGGUGGAGCACACGCUAAACGAGAAGCGCAUCCUGCAGGCCAUCCAGUUCCCCUUCCUCGUCUCGCUGCGCUACCACUUCAAGGACAACUCCAACCUCUACAUGGUCCUCGAGUACGUGCCCGGCGGCGAGAUGUUCUCCCACCUGCGGAAGGUGGGCCGCUUCUCGGAGCCCCACUCGCGCUUCUACGCGGCGCAGAUCGUGCUGGCCUUCGAGUAUCUGCACUACCUGGACCUCAUCUACCGGGACCUCAAGCCCGAGAAUCUGCUGAUCGACUCGCAGGGGUACCUCAAGGUCACGGACUUUGGGUUCGCCAAGCGCGUCAAGGGCCGCACCUGGACGCUCUGCGGCACGCCCGAGUAUCUGGCGCCGGAGAUCAUCCUGUCGAAGGGCUACAACAAGGCCGUCGACUGGUGGGCGCUCGGCGUCCUCGUCUACGAGAUGGCCGCCGGCUAUCCGCCCUUCUUCGCGGACCAGCCCAUUCAGAUCUACGAGAAGAUCGUCUCGGGCAAGGUGCGCUUCCCCUCGCACUUUGGGUCCGACCUGAAGGACCUGCUGCGCAACCUCCUGCAGGUUGACCUGACCAAACGCUAUGGCAAUCUGAAGGCGGGCGUCAAUGAUAUUAAGAACCAGAAGUGGUUCGCCUCCACCGACUGGAUUGCGAUCUUCCAAAAGAAAAUCGAGGCCCCCUUCAUACCCCGGUGUAAGGGGCCCGGCGACACAAGCAAUUUCGACGACUACGAGGAGGAGGCACUGCGGAUCUCCAGCACCGAGAAGUGCGCCAAGGAAUUUGCUGAAUUCUAGAUCAAGUUUUCCACCUCCACUCCACCCAUAUUUUUGCAACCGCCACAACAACAACAACAACAGCAGCAGCAAAAACAACAAUUGCAACAACAGCAGGACAAAUCAGAUCCGGUGGACUUGCCUCCUGCUCCUGGAGUUGCUGUUGCGGCCUAGCGGACCCUGUCCUCAUAGCCGUAGCCGCCGUCGUUGUCGUCGUCGUCGUCGUCGUCGUCUUGUCUAUAUGUCUACUUCUACUUGCAACUGCAACUGCAACUGCAACAACAACAACAACAACAAAAACAACUACUAACUACAUCUACUUCGUCUACAUGUACGUCUGGACAUAUGGUGUAUCUAUAUCUAUGUCUAUAUCAAUCCACAUGCCACGUAUCUAUCCACACAACACAACACAACAAGAACACAAACGUCUCUGUCUACUCCACAAUGGAUUUUCCACUACAAUUUUCAUAAAUCAUAAGCAACACAAAACUACAAAAACUACAAACUACAAACUUCAAGCUACAAACUACAAAGAACUACAAUCUACAAUCUACAGGUGGGACAGUGUAAAAGUAGCGCUGCUCUUCCUCCUCGAAGCCAAACCUCAGCCGAAGCAGCCUUUUUGUCUAGAGACCAGCCAGCCAGAGAGGGCCAGAAGCGGGACAGGAUAACAGGAUGAACGGAAGGGAAAGGAAACAGAAAGGAAAAGGAAUGGAAUGAAUGCCCAAAUGGAAUAGAAGCCCAAAUAGAGUUAUAGAAAUAGCAAUGGAAACAAUUAAAAUGACUUACAUAUAGAUAUUCAUUCAUACAUACAUACAUAUAGCGUAUAUAACCACGAGACUACAGAUAUUUAGUUGUAACGUAGUUUAGUCUUAUAACCGAAGAAGAAGAAGAAGAGGAAGAUGAAGAUGAAGAUGAAGAAGAAUCGAGAAGAAAACACAGAGAAAGCAGAAAACAAAGGAGAACAAACAAACAAAGAAACAAAGAGGAAAUCCAGGAGAAAAAUCAUCAUCCCAAAACAAGGGCUAAAGAAUUUCAUAUUUCAUCACGAUGAACCCCCGUUCCAUAGAUCCAUCCGUCGAUUAAUCGUUCAAUCAAUCGAUUUAUCGAUCAUUCGGUCAGUCAGUCACCACCACAACAACAACAACAACUUCAGAGUAAAAAAACGCUUUAAUAAUUUUUAAAUUAAAUACAAAAGGUUAAAUUUAACACACAAAAAAAUUAUGGCGCACUCAGUGUGCUUGAAAAAAAAAAGAAGAAAGAAGGAAAGAGAAUAAUGAGAAAAAGCAGAGGCAGCAAGCAAAUCAUAUGAUUAAUAAAAAGUGUAAUAUUUAUAUAAAGAAAAUAAUUACGAGGAAUAAUACGAGCGCUACGAGAGAGCGAGAACAAGUCUCCCCCUGACAGAAGACACAGAAGGGAACCCGGGAGACAGGCAGUCGGUCAAGUGAUUAGUGAGUGAAAUCGAUAUUCAGUGUUGCGCAACGACAGACAGUGUUGGUCAGCGCCUCGACCUUAUUACGCCCCGCGCGCCCCGCUUGCGUUCAUGUGUGUGUAGCUCUCGAUAUGUGUGUGUAGGUCUCGUGCAGACAUGUCUCUAGAUAUUUAUAUAUAUAUAAUACAUGCAUACCCCCAUAAAUACAUACAUACAUGGAUAUAAGUGUUGUACAAUCAGCGACGACGUGCAACAAACCCCUGUCCCUCCCCCCAGUAGAACACAUCACGACCAUGUGUGACAGUGGCACCUAAAAGUAAGCACACUAGCCCAUCAUCGCGAACCCAUGAAUAGAUAUCCAUCCAACAUGCAAAAUGCCAACAUCCGCCAUCCACAACUCGCAAAAGGAACCACACCAACAACAACUACUCGGAUUCUAAAAUAAUAAAUAUAAAAAAGAAGAAGAUUACAAACCAUUGAAAACGCAGCAAGAAAUAUAUAAGUAUAUACGAUUAAAACAACAACAAAAAUAAAAUCUUAAUGUUUAAUAUUUAAGCCACGUAAAACAAAAACAAAAAACUGAAAAACAUUUGUGUGUAAAAAAUCGUAAAAAACUUAGCAUUAAAAAAAAAACCAAUUGAAGUCGAAGGCGAAAGCAGGCAAAAAUGUCGAAAGAUUGAAGCAAAAGCAAAGUAAAAGCGCAAGAGAAAAGCCAACUAAAUAUAGAGAAGCAAAACGGGGAGGAAACGGAAGUACAGUCAUGCCAAAGGGUAGCUGUCGAUUGGAUUAUAUUUAUUAUCGUUUCGUUAUGUGCAAAAAGGAGAACGAAGAAAGAAGAGAUUUCUAUUAGGCAGAAAGAUUCUUUUAUCAAAAAUUCUCCACCCUGUUAUUAUUUAUUUCUUUACAAAUGAAGACUUUAUUCAAUUACGUUUUGAUGUUGUUGUUGUUGUGAGAAAGAGAUGUGCGAUGUGAGAUAUGAGAUAUGUAGCGCAAGACAGAGACACAAGGAGACAGAGUCGUCAAGAGAAUAAAAAGAAUAAACAUUAAUUUAUAUACGCGUACAUUUUAUGUUUUCUACGAUGAUUAUAUACAAGUGCAUAUACAUAUUUGUUCAACUAUAGUUGCGAGACAAAAGUCAUAAAUAGGCAUACAAAUUAAGCAGCUAAAUUUAAUGGUAACUACGAGUACAUACGAGUAAAAAUAAAACUAAAAACUAAAUAGACACCGAAAUCAAUUGAGCAACC